rnacentral:rRNA from 1 species
CAGCAGCCACGGUAAUACGAAGGGUGCAAGCGUUAAUCGGAAUUACUGGGCGUAAAGCGUGCGUAGGCGGUUUGUUAAGUCUGUUGUGAAAUCCCCGGGCUCAACCUGGGAAUGGCAAUGGAUACUGGCAAGCUAGAGUGUGUCAGAGGAUGGUGGAAUUCCCGGUGUAGCGGUGAAAUGCGUAGAGAUCGGAAGGAACAUCUGUGGCGAAGGCGACUAUCUGGGCCAACACUGACACUGAGGCACGAAAGCGUGGGGAGCAAACAGGAUUAGAUACCCCCGUAGUCCCUGUCUCUUAUAC